AACCCCCCUGGUUUUAAGGCCAGGGCAAGAACUUCACUGGCGUCUGCCAGCGUCUGUGUCAGCAUGCCUGUACUAGGUCACAACAAUAGCCCCCACCAGUGUCUCAGUCUCUGGUGAGGUCUCACCUCUCACCGAGAAGCACCCAGAGCCUACCAGGUCAAUAUUCACAGCUAUUGGAUGUUGUUAAGGAGCAAGCACUGAGACCCAUCCCUUCUCCUCUUGUGUUCUGUUGGCGAGAAUAGACAUAAUGGCAUCCAACUGCUGAUGUGUGUUGGCGAAUGUAGUUUGAACCUGAAGUGUAAUGGUCACUCCUACUUCCACCCUGAAUCUGGACUUGCCUAUGAAGAGAUCUGGAUAUGUAGGACAGUUUUAGAAGCCACUGGGAGGGGCCACAGGCCUGCUCCACGCACCGUAACCAGCAGGACAGUGAGUGACAAUGGUGGACCCCCUUCCUUACACACAAACACAGAAGGGUCUGUUGUAAGGAGUUAGGGAGAAGAUGAGGAGGAGGACUUGUUCCAUUUGAGAGGAAGUUGGUGGGAAUAAGAGCACAGACCAGCCGCCUUUAACCUUCUUAUUCCCAUUGCCAGAAAAUUUUACCAAUCAGCUUGGACUUGACAGAGCAGUGAUUUAUAACUCCUCCCUUGCUUCUUUCUCCAUGGUGCAAUUUCAGUGGAAUUCCCCCUCUAAUUACAACUACCAACCAGGAGAAAAAUACGUGUUUCUGGAUUUCACUUUGCCUGCUUCUUGAUGCGUGUUUUCUUGAGGAGAUCCUAAUGUAUACAUUACAUUUUUAAAUUCAAGUGAAGGCUAAAGAAUGAAGGAGUGAGAUGAUUGCUCCUUGCUGUUUGCUAUGCACUCUGUGGAUUCCACGCUGAGAUCACUACAGUUGGAGAAGGAUGGCCUCUAUCAAAGCAAGUCAGAGAAACUCCCAGGAGAGAAGCCAAGGUGUCAUUUCCUGGGACCAAAUGUUUUAUUGAUGGACAAAGAAUUGCACAUAUUUAACAUGGAAAAUUUGAUGAAUUUGGUCAUCAGCAAACAUCCUUGAUACCAUCACCACAAUCAGAUAAUAGACAGAUCCAACACCUCCAAGAGUUUUCUGGUUUUCCUUAAGUUUUUUUGUGUGUGUAUAUGUGGUAAGAACACUUAACGUCAUUCUUAUUAUUAAACAGAAGGUGAGUUAUGGACCAACAGAUGUUACCAAACCAAGCAAGGAAUCGAAAUAGAAAUGUUUACUUUUGCUGCAUGAUAGUAGAAUAAUGUGCUUAUUUUUGUUCAUUCGCUCAUUCAUUUGCUGAGAUAUUUACUGUGUUCCACUUGUGUUGUUUUUAGCACUUAAGAUGCAGUCGUGGAAAAGAGACCAGUUUCUUAUCAAUGAGGUUUACAUUUUAAUGGGGAAAUAGAAGAAAUGCUUUUGUUUUGAAAACCUUCAGCUGCAAUGACUUUUGAAUUAAUUUCUUCAGGCAUUUAAUUAUUCAUUAAGUUACUUUUGAAGCAAUUAUUCAAAAAUCAUGUUCAACAUAGUAUUUACCAUAAUAAAAGUGAUGUUAUUUGGAGAAAUUUUUAGAAAACAAAAUAAAGUUUAAAACCACCUAUAAUUACAUAAUAUGGAAGACUAUGGCAGUCAGUAAUGUGUGUCUAUGUCCUCCAUUUUUCUCUAUAUUUAGAUUUAUGGACCAAUGUAAUUUUCUGAAAACAAAGGAAUUGAUUUCAUAAAUUACUUUCCCUCAUUCUGUUAAAUAUUCUCUAAGAAUAUGACUUCCCCUAUUCAUAAUCUGGAAUAAAUAUGCUGCAAUUUAUUUAAGUAGUAUUCUAUCAUUAGACUUUGAGGGUAUUUUUCUCAAAUUUAUUUAAGUAACACUACGAUAAAUAGCCUGUAUACACAUCUUGGUAUGUGUCUAUGACUAUCUUCUUAGGGUAAAUGUCUAGAAGUGACUUGAUUGUGUGAAAGUCUAUUAAACAUAUACAGAUUUUAUACAUCAUCUCAACUACCCCUCCAAAGAAUGUAAUUUUACCACAUUAUAAUUUAUCAAUGUUUAUUUCCCUGCAUCCUUACUAGUAUUAGAUAUUUUCAGGUUUUCCCUCUAAUCACAGCCCAAUUGUCUACAGAAAAAAAAAUAUGUCAUUGGUUUAACUUUCAAUCCUUUGAUGAUAAGCAAGUUAAGCACUUGUUCACAUUUAUUGUUCACUGUUGUAUUGGUUAAUUGCCUUUUACAUUUCUGCCCAUAUAUCUAUUUUGUGAUUCAACUCGUAUUUUUUCUUUGUGAAAAUCUCUGUAUAUUAAGCAUAAUUAACUAUAAUUUUGUUAUAUAUUUUAAAUUACUUUUCUGGUGUUUCCUUUACCUUUUAUGGUAUUUUGGAGAUUCCAUUUUUACGUUGUUAAACCUAUUAAUGUUUACCUUUAAUUUUCUCUGGCUGCUUGUGUGGUUAAAAUCGUUUUCCACUUUGAUAUCAGAAAUUAUUUUUGUAUCUGAGCUUCAAGUUCUUCUAUUUUUUAUAAAAAGAAAGAAUCGAGUGUGGAUUUUUUUAAAUAGUAGGAGUUUUGUGGUUGAUCAGUUCUCCUGGUGUGUAUGUAUAUGCAUGCAUGUAUUAUGUAUUUUUUUAUUUCUAAAAUUUGUUUUGGAAUAGACCUUCUUCAAUGAUUUAAAAAUUCUACUUUUAUUGCAUACUAGAUUUUUAUGUAAAUUUAGCUCUGGACAGUUCUCUCACGGUUUGUGUAUUGUACAGGAUAAAACUGUUUUAGCUGUUAUAUUUUCAUAAUGUAUUUACAUAUUUGAUAA
rnacentral:lncRNA from 1 species